GCAAGAUGGGAAAUUGUAUAAUAACAAUAUCAACUCUUAUCGCUUUGGUGUUCCGGGUUUUUUUUAAUUUUUAUUUUAUCACCUUAAUCUAUAAUAUUUUUAUCUCAUAGUCUACUCAUACCCCUGGAGGGUAGGGUAGGGUAGCGAUAUUUGCUUCAACAUGUUUACGUACUCUGAAAUGCUCAUCGUUGCAUGCACGUGCGUUCUGCCCUUACAAAUUCAUGUGCUGAAGGACUUCGAAACAAAAGGAAGGCGCUGGCGAUGGCGAAAUUUAUCUUGUCUAUUUUCCUUGCAAUAUUCCUUCAAACCCUUUAUGUAAAUGCAGAGGAGUAUGUAGACAAGUGCAUAGAAGGAAAGUGGCACAAAAAGUCGCCCUCUCCCGAAACAGCCGAGUUCAAAACUUGCCAUGCCUUUAAAGAAAGCAGUUGUUGCAACGCAGCCUUUACGGUGGAAUUGAUGGCCAACGAAACCCGCAAUUUGUACAACCAUUCUUGGCAUCGCUGUGGUACUCUCUCAGCAAAAUGUCAAUCCUUUUGGGUUAAACAGGAAUGUUUUUAUCAGUGUUCUCCCAAGGUUUACCGAUAUGAAGAUCCAAAUUUUAAAGGGGGUCUGAAAGGUGUACCAGUUUGUUCUGGCUUUUGUGAUGAGUGGUAUGAAGCCUGUAAGGAAGAUCAGAUUUGUGUUGAAAAUGUUCUUGUGGACUAUAACUUCACCAAACAUGAAGAGAAUUACUGUCCUGUCAACAGCAGCUGUAAGUCGUACCAGGCCAUGUAUGGAAAUGGUAAGAACCUUUGUGAGAAGAUGUGGGGAGAGUCGUACAAAUACACCCUGCCGGAUGCUGACUACUCCAACUGUUUAAUGAUGGACCCAUCUAAGAAAGUGAAAGGCAUUGGCAUCACCAGUGUCCCCAACAUUUCUCUGUUGGCUCUCAUCCUCUUCAUCAUGACUUUAAUGCAAUAGUUUGUGUGUUAUUCUUCUUUGUUCAGAAACAAAUUCUUCUUUGAUUAAGGCUCCUGGUGAGACAAACUUAUUUUAAAUUAUUGGUGCAGGACCAAUUUUUUUUUUUUUGGAAUUCCUCAACUGAUAGGAAGUAACAUCAUUUAAAAUACUUAUUGACAUCUUAGAUAUUUGGGAAUUAUUCUGCAUAGUCUUGUACAUCAUUUUGGUAUUACUGUGUUAUAUUGAUAGUGUGUUGUAAUUUUUAAUGUGCGGCCUGUAACAAGUAAGUUAUGUGAAGGAAUUCUGUAACUGUUCUGCAGAAAUGUUUUUGACGGGUCUGUAGUUAUUGAUUCUUAACAAUUGGCCAUUGUAUUUAUGAUUUACUGGUAUUUAUUGAUACAUUUAUUUUGGGUUUGAAACUUCAGGUCUCAGUCAGCACAUGAUGCUAUGA
rnacentral:misc_RNA from 1 species